AGUGAACGCUGGCGGCAGGCCUAACACAUGCAAGUCGAACGGCAGCGGGUAGGAAGCUUGCUUCCUAUGCCGGCGAGUGGCGGACGGGUGAGGAACACAUCGGAAUCUACUCCGUCGUGGGGGAUAACGUAGGGAAACUUACGCUAAUACCGCAUACGACCUAAGGGUGAAAGUGGGGGACCGCAAGGCCUCACGCGAUGGAAUGAGCCGAUGUCCGAUUAGCUAGUUGGCGGGGUAAAGGCCCACCAAGGCGACGAUCGGUAGCUGGUCUGAGAGGAUGAUCAGCCACACUGGGACUGAGACACGGCCCAGACUCCUACGGGAGGCAGCAGUGGGGAAUAUUGGACAAUGGGCGAAAGCCUGAUCCAGCCAUGCCGCGUGGGUGAAGAAGGCCUUCGGGUUGUAAAGCCCUUUUGUUGGGGAAGAAAUCCUGCUGGCUAAUACCCGGCGGGGAUGACGGUACCCAAAGAAUAAGCACCGGCUAACUUCGUGCCAGCGCCGCGGUAA
rnacentral:rRNA from 1 species